rnacentral:rRNA from 1 species
CCCGCAACGAGCGCAACCCUUGCCAUUAGUUGCUACCAUUCAGUUGAGCACUCUAAUGGGACUGCCGGUGACAAACCGGAGGAAGGUGGGGAUGACGUCAAGUCCUCAUGGCCCUUAUGACCAGGGCUUCACACGUCAUACAAUGGUCGGUACAGAGGGUAGCCAAGCCGCGAGGUGGAGCCAAUCUCAUAAAACCGAUCGUAGUCCGGAUCGCACUCUGCAACUCGAGUGCGUGAAGUCGGAAUCGCUAGUAAU